CUUACCCAUGUUGCUGACAAAACGCACGCCAUUGCGCAAGCGUAAGCGCACACACACACACACACACACACACACACACACACACACACAGCGUCGCGUGAAUCAGAUAGUGAAGUUCUUUUUGUUCGUGACUAGUUUCUGUUUUUUGGAUGGGUAUUCGGUAAAAGAGGUGAAAACUCCCCCGUGCCACACCACUCACCUGUUCCUGCAGUAGUCUUUCUUUGGGGGAAUGAACGGGUCAGCUCCAACCUCCGCCACCACCACCACCAGAAGGAGAACCGCCAUGCCUGCCAUCGCCAUCCCGUACAUCCUGCACCGGGCCACAAGUGAGGCCUCAGGCACGAGCCGCCAGUUUAUCAAGCACAUCACCGGGCGCCGAUGAUUGGAGCACGCUCGACAUUGCCUUAUAUGACCUACACGGGCGGGACAUGAAGUAGACUGUCACGGAGGGCAUGCCACGGGGCACCGAGGUGCCUCGGGGCCUCACGCAACGCGAGGUGGAGGAGGAGCUAAGUGGUGGGAGGAAUUUCGGGAGUGUGUUGUGACAUGUAUCCCGGACUUGGCAGUCGUCGUUGACGCACUCUGAAGCAUUCUGGAGGUUUCCACACGCUAGGGCGUCGCUGUGGAAAGAAGUUGCGUCAUCCCAUAAGGAUUAGAAAAGAAAAGUAUCUGAUACAAAUUUUCUUCAGCUACUACAUAUUAUUUCGUUCCCAUUACCGAGGCGGCGCGGCCAGGGAGUGAGAGCCGCUGCGCAUAAGUAAAGCUGAAGUAAUACGUAUGCUGUGUACUAUUUCACGUCUGGUCCAACCGCUAACGCAGGGGCUUCACCUGCCGCAGACAGUUCACGGAGAUUACAUUUAUUUAUUUAU